rnacentral:tRNA from 1 species
GCCUGGGUGGCUCAGUCUGUUAAGCUUCUGACUUUGGCUCAGGUCAUGAUCUUGCAGUUCAUGGGUUCGAGCCCCGUGUCGGGCU